rnacentral:ncRNA from 1 species
AACAAGACAAGGUUCAAGAGGAGUAUUUGUUGCCCUGGUGUGUAGAGAAAAGUCGGUUGGUGCAAGACUUUCCCAGAAACAAAGAAGGUAGCUUGAAGGUCUUUGAUCUGAAGAUCAGGUUGAUCCAAGGACAAACGCGUCGUGACCGUUAACUCACGUCAAAGUGGCAGAGAAAUCUGCAAUUUAGGUGGUACCGCGUAUCAGCGCCCUAAAU